rnacentral:misc_RNA from 1 species
UUUCCGUAGGUGAACCUGCGGAAGGAUCAUUCAUAAUAAAGUGUUUUAUGGCACUUUUUAAAAAUCCAUAUCCACCUUGUGUGCAAUGUUAGAUCUCGUCAAUCUUGGCGAGAUUUUUAUACAUCAACUCAUUCUUUAGCUAAUUUGUCUGAAAAAUAUUAUGAAUACUUAAUUCAAAAUACAACUUUCAACAACGGAUCUCUUGGCUCUC